rnacentral:rRNA from 1 species
UCGAGAAUCUUUCGCAAUGGGGGAAACCCUGACGAAGCGACGCCGCGUGAGCGAUGAAGGCCUUCGGGUUGUAAAGCUCUGUUUUCGGGGAAGAACGGUAACGGUGCUAACAUCGCCGUUAUUUGACGGUACCUGAAGAGGAAGCCACGGCUAACUCCGUGCCAGCAGCCGCGGUAAUACGGAGGUGGCGAGCGUUGUUCGGAUUUACUGGGCGUAAAGGGCGUGUAGGUGGUCUUGCAAGUCGUUUGUGAAAUCUCUCGGCUCAACCGGGAAACUGCAGGCGAUACUGCAAGGCUAGAGUGCAUGAGAAGAGAGUGGAAUUCUCGGUGUAGCGGUGAAAUGCGUAGAUAUCGAGAAGAACGUCGGUGGCGAAAGCGGCUCUCUAUCCUGCUACUGACACUGAGGCGCGAAAGCUAGGGGAGCAAACAGG